rnacentral:rRNA from 1 species
AGUGAACGCUGGCGGUAGGCCUAACACAUGCAAGUCGAACGGCAGCACAGUAAGAGCUUGCUCUUACGGGUGGCGAGUGGCGGACGGGUGAGGAAUACAUCGGAAUCUACUUUUUCGUGGGGGAUAACGUAGGGAAACUUACGCUAAUACCGCAUACGACCUACGGGUGAAAGCAGGGGAUCUUCGGACCUUGCGCGAUUGAAUGAGCCGAUGUCGGAUUAGCUAGUUGGCGGGGUAAAGGCCCACCAAGGCGACGAUCCGUAGCUGGUCUGAGAGGAUGGUCAGCCACACAGGAGCUGAGACACGGUCCAGACACCGACGGGAGGCAGCAGUGGGGAAUAUUGGACAAUGGGCGCAAGCCUGAUCCAGCCAUACCGCGUGGGUGAAGAAGGCCUGCGGGUGGUAAAGCCCUUUUGUUGGGAAAGAAAAGCAGCAGGUUAAUACCCCGCUGUGCGGACGGAACCCAAAGAAUAAGCACCGGCGAACUUCGU